CGGGACGGGUGAGUAACGCGUGGGUAACCUGCCUUGUACAGGGGGAUAACAGUUGGAAACGGCUGCUAAUACCGCAUAAGCGCACAGCAUCGCAUGAUGCAGUGUGAAAACCUCCGGUGGUAUAAGAUGGACCCGCGUUGGAUUAGCUAGUUGGUGAGGUAACGGCCCACCAAGGCGACGAUCCAUAGCCGACCUGAGAGGGUGACCGGCCACAUUGGGACUGAGACACGGCCCAA
rnacentral:rRNA from 1 species